AACCACAGCACCCAGGAUUCCCGCGUGGUCCCCC
rnacentral:rRNA from 1 species